CGGGUGAGUAAUGUAUAGGAACUUGCCUAAUAGUGGGGGACAACGUGUGGAAUCGCACGCUAAUACCGCAUACGCUCUACGGAGGAAAGCGGGGGAUCUUCGGACCUCAUGCUAUUAGAUAGGCCUAUAUUGGAUUAGCUAGUUGGUAAGGUAAAGGCUUACCAAGGCGACGAUCCAUAGCUGGUUUGAGAGAAUGAUCAGCCACACUGGGACUGAGACACGGCCCAG
rnacentral:rRNA from 1 species